rnacentral:rRNA from 14 species
AUGCUUUGAUCCGAGGAUUCCCGAAUGGGGCAACCCAAAGCAUUCCUUCUUGAAUUCAUAGAGAAGAGAAAGACAACUUGGUGAACUGAAACAUCUUAGUAGCCAAAGGAAAAGAAAGCAAAAGCGAUUCCCAAAGUAGCGGCGAGCGGAAUGGGAACAGCCUAAAAGGACUUUGACAGUAAUGUAAAGACCAGGUCAUGGGACCAAACAUAUGGCACUGCAUGGAAUGAGAA